rnacentral:lncRNA from 1 species
GUCGUGAAGCCUCCUUUCUUGAUUCACAUUUCUUCAAACCCAAAGCUGCUUCAGAAUUAAACUUAUCAUUAUCCUUCAACACAAAUGUUUGGUUUGGAAGUGGACUCUCCCACUUGUGAUUCAACUGGGGAAGGUAAUGUGAGAAGCCUCCCUUUUUGGGCACGUGGGGGAAGAUGCUUGGCAUGUUUUCUAGAUGGCACAUUCCAUGGCAAAAACACCCCAGUUCCACCACCAGCAAGUUUGCGGGAGUUCAAUGCCACAUGACGCAUGGGAGUUAGCAUCACCAUUGGACCGCGAAGCACUCCCCAUUUUGGCAUCAUGU